GCAUUGGUGGUUCAGGGGUAGAAUUCUCUCCUUCCACCUGGAAAGUCUGGGUUCAAUUCCCGGUCAAUGGA
rnacentral:tRNA from 1 species